rnacentral:rRNA from 1 species
GGGAAGUAAAAGUCGUAACAAGGUCUCCGUUGGUGAACCAGCGGAGGGAUCAUUGCUG